GAGGGACCCCAAAGCCAGGUCUGGAAAAGGGGGGUGGGUUGGGUGGUGGGGGUGCAGCCCCCAAAGAAAUGGGGGUCGAAAUGGAGGAAACCCCACUGAGAUGCUCAAAUGUAAAACCGCUGAAGAAUAAAGGGACAAAUGUACACAUCUGUCUAAAUGAAAAAAAUGAAAAUCCUGGCCGCAAAAACACAUACAUUAACGUCUAAAGACCUGCAGGGAAGACAAGACUUUUCCGCCUGGGACACAUGAAAGACAUCGAGCUAAUUUCCUUAAUAAAUGAAGAGCUCUUGGAAACCAACGAGAUAAAGACCAAACCAAGACAGAAAAAUGGGCAAAAGGGAUAAAACUGGCAAUUCGCAAGAAAAUCCAAACGGCUGGCCGACCUGCGAAGGAAACAUCACGACCUGUUUGCAUAAAGAAAUGCAAACCUGAAACACCGGGCACGUGCGGUUUAGGGGAGCGGGCAGUCUCACACACUACUGAGUUGUUUCCCAGCAGCCGUCAAUACAGACCUUCCACUGCGUAAGCCCACUGCAUUGCCAUUUAAUAAAACAGCAAGAAAAUGAGAGAGAAAAAUAAUGAGGUAGAAUUGUAUGGGAUUAUUAAGGAUUGAAUUCUCAGUAGAUUUAGUGAAAUAUACAAGUUACUGAAGUUUGUAGAAACGAACUGGUAAGUGUUUUCUCAUUUAUUUGUUUUUUAAGGAUAAACCCAAAUAUAGGUAAAACUGUUGGAAAGGUAGGCAAGAAAUUGUUGAUGAGUUACUUCUAGGGACAAGGAAUGUGGGGUGGAAGAGGGAUUUUUCCCUUCUGCCAUCCAUACUGUGAAUUUCCUUGGCAGAAAUACGUAUUUCUUCUCUGGCAGUAAAAUCAAUGAAUUACUAAAAGUUCACUAAUGUACUCUUUGGUCCAACUAUUCCACUCUCAAGGAACUAAAAAAGCAAAGGAAAUACAGGGAUAUACAGAAGAUUCUAUACAGGGAUAUUCACGGAGCAUCAUUUUUAUCACCAAAAAUGUGCUCCACAGAAAAGAAUUAAACUGUAUUCUGGUAAAUUUACACAGCGCGAUUUUAACUGACUAAUAAAAAUGCUGUAUGAUUUUAACUUUAAAGGAAAAAAUCUGUAAGAUGUGGUUAAUUACCAAAAGGUGUUUACCUAAGGAGCACACAGACUUUAAUACCCCAAAUUAAACUUUAUAUUAUACUCAAGGAGUUAUCAGUGGUUGCUUGCUACACUGAGAAGCUGCUUUAUGUGUUUUAGACUCCCUAGACCAUCAACAGUCUCUUUUUGCCCAGCAGUGCCACAUAAACAUAAUAUACGAAUGAAAACACUGUGCUUCUUAUGAAAAUACACGUUCAAAACAAAUUCCCCAGCAGGAAUAUUGAAGGUGAAUGUGGUAGUACCCUGACUUAGGUUACAGAUUUUCAAAUCUGGCUACUCUCAUUAGGCUCACCUGGAGAGCUGUUAAACAAUGCAGAUUCCCAGUGUCCCACAGAGAUCUUUGUUUUUCAGGUUCCCAAGGGAUCCUAAUGUCUAGUUAAGGUUUUGUAGGUGAUUUUAAUAUAUUUUAAAGACUCCAUCAUCCCCCUGUCUCCUCAAAGGCCUCUAUCUGCAAUACCAGUUUCUCUCCGGAUCCUGAAUCAUUAAUUUCCACAAGACACCACAUGCUCUCAGAGCUCCUGCAGUUACCACCCCCUUGCUCAGCACCUCUUGGCCCUGAAAAUGCCUCUUGAUAGAGCAGUCUACUGUCACUAACUCAAUGGUUUUACCAUACAUUCUCUCCUGCUAACAUAUAUGCCCCACAGGCUUCCAUCCCUUCCAAACCCACUGAAAUUGCUUGACAAUUUCAGCAAUUCCUUAUGUGGCCAAGAAACUUGCUCUUAAUCUCACUUUAUCUCUCAGUAAUAUUCAACAUCCUCAUUAAAACAAGCAAACAAAAACAAAAUCCCAUGCAUGCUAUCUUAUUUUUGGUGACAAUUACAUGGUCCUGGUUUCCGCUCCCCUGCCAUCAGUGGUCUCUUCUCAGUCAUAAAUGGCUUCUGCUCUGCUUGCCAUCUACACGCUGGAGGGUCUUGCCUCAGAACUUAGUCACUAGUCUUCUCCAUCAAUGUCCACUCCCUAGGUAACAACCCUUCCCUCCUCACCUAGUCACAUAAUUUAAAUGCCACCUACAUGCCAAUGGCUCCCAAAUUCCAAUCCUCUGCCACAGGACUGUCCACAAAAGCGCAGUCUUUUGCUUAGAAACUGACUGCUCCCCUUGGAUGUCUAUCAGGCAACUCAAAGCAUUUUAAACAAAUAUUAAUUUCCCCUUUCCCCAUUUCUAUAAACAGUACCAGUUGCUGAAGCCAAAAAACAAAAACAAAAAACGACAAAAAAAACCCUCACGAUUGUUCUCGUUCCUUUUUUCCUUACCACCAACAUCCAAUUUAUCAGCAAGUCUUGCUGACCCUAUCUAAGGCAAAUCCCAAAUUUGUCCCAUGAUUUCCCUUUCCAUGGUAGUCCUAAGAAACAUUAUCUUCCUACAAAAACCCUUCUUCCAUUCCAAACCCUUCCUCCAGUAUUCUCCACACAGUAUUAAGGGUGAUCUUGCAAAGCAAAAAAGAUGUCAAUGUUCCAGCUUGAAUGACCUCCUGCCCCCAUCCCAAUUGCAUUUAAAGUCCAAAAGCCCAAAAUUAGAAGAGCCAACAUUAUCUUUUGUCUUAGAGGACAAUUAAAUAUAGGUGUUGUAAAAUUUCACAAUCUCUUCCUUCAAUGCCUAAUUUAAGAAAUUCUUCCCCACACUGAUGUCAUAAAGAUAUUCAAAUAGCUGUGCAUUUUAGUUUUCUUUAUGGUUAUUUUUGCCUAUGUUCUGUGUUAGGGAUCUAAUUUUCCCCUGACUUUGUAUCAUAUUUCUCUAUAUGAGCAGGUCUGUGCUUGAACUCUCUUGUUGGUCCCCUGAUCCAUUUCUCUAUCUCUGUGCAUUAACGCACCAUAUUAUUACAGCUUUACAGUAUCUUGGUAUUUGAAAGGGCGACGGCCCUACCUUGUUUUUCAAAAGUGUCUGGCCCUACCUUGUCUUUCAAAAUUAUCUGACUCUUAGCCCACCAUCUUUCAAAUAAUUUUUAGAAGCAGCUUUUAAAGUUUGAUGAACUAUCCUAUUGAGAUUCUGACAUUUUAUUAAAUCCACACAGCAAUUUAGAGAAAUUGAAAACAUUAUAUCAAGAUCUCUCAUCUUUGACCACUGUCUAUAUCUCUUACGGCUGUCAAUGAUACACUGUAAUUUUUUUUCCCUAUAAAGGCCUUAUUUGACUUUAGGAGGUCCUUUUUUUCCCCCAUUAAUUGUAUAAUUGGUUAUUUAAUAGUUUCAGAAUUACAAAAAAGUUGCAAAGAUAGUACAAAACUUCCCCACCCUGUUUUCCCUGAUGUUAAUACCUUACAUAACCUUGCUACUUUGUCAAAAAGAAGAGAUAAUAUUAACACUAAACAAACUACAGACUUUGUUUUGAUUUCACCCAUUUUUCCAUUACUAUCUUCCUUCUGUUCCAGGAUCUCAUCCCAGACACAGCAUUACAUUUAGUGAUUACAUCUCCUUAGGCUCCCCAAGGCUGUGACAGCUUCUCAGUAUUUUGUAGAAUACUCAGUUUGUUUGAUAUUUUCUCACAACUUGAUUUGGGUUAUGAAUUUUUGAGAAGAGUAUCUGCUAUUGCCUUUUUUUUUUUUUUUUUUUUUUUUUGAGACAGAGUCCGGCUGUGUCGCCCAGGCUGGCGAUGCAAUGGCUCAAUCUCAGCUCACUGCAACCUCCACCUCCCGGGUUCAAGCAAUUCUCCUCCCUCAGCCUCCUGGGUAGCUGGGAUUACAAUCAUUUGCCAUCAUGCCCAGCUAAUUUUUGUAUUUUUAGUAGCGAUGGAGUUUCACCAUGUUGGCCAGGCUGGUCUCGAACUCCUGACCUUGUGAUCAGCAUACCCUGGUCUCCCAAAGUGCUGGGAUUACACCGCACCCGGCCUGCUAUUGCUUUUUAUACGCUGACUUUGGAUCCAGUGAACUUGUUGACUUUUUUUUUCUACACAAAAAAAAGUUCCUGUAUUUUUAAAAUGUUAACAUGCUAAUUAAUGACUUCAUUUUUACUUUCGGAGUUUCACCAUGUUGGCCAGGCUGGUCUCGAACUCCUGACCUUGUGAUCAGCAUACCCUGGUCUCCCAAAGUGCUGGGAUUACACUGCACCCGGCCUGCUAUUGCUUUUUAUACGCUGACUUUGGAUCCAGUGAACUUGUUGACUUUUUUUUCUACAGAAAAAAAUGUUCCUGUAUUUUUAAAAUAUUAACAUGCUAAUUAAUGACUUCAUUUUUACUCUCAUUGACAAUCAUACCUCACUUCAUUAACAUAAUGCAUUGGCUAGGACUUCUGGGGUGAUAUUGAACAAGUCUUGUCCUAUAUUUGAAAGGGGAUACUCUUAUCUUUACUAUGAAAGGGGAUACUCUUAUCUUUACUAUGAAGUAAAAACAUUCACUGCAGGCUUGUUUUGUACAGCCUCUUUAUUGGGGGUUAAGGAAAUUGCCUUAAGUUCUAGUU
rnacentral:lncRNA from 1 species